rnacentral:rRNA from 1 species
UCUUGUACACACCGCCCGUCACACCACGGAAGCAAGCAACACCCGAAGCCGGUGGCCUAACCCUUUGGGAGGGAGCCGUCGAAGGUGAGGCUCGUGACUAAAGUG